UUUAAGUGCAACCAUGAGUUUCCGUGACCAAGUUUGAUCAUCCGUCUUUAUUUGAAAUUUUUUUAUAAUUAGUAUUUUUGUUGUUACGAGAUGAUAAAACAUGAAUAUUACUUUACUCGUGACUUAUGUUUUUAAUUUUUUUUAAAAUUUUUUCAAAUAAGACGGACGAUCAAAAUUGGGCGUGGAAAACUAUGGCUGCACUUAAG
rfam:Oryza sativa Japonica Group DNA, chromosome 5, cultivar: Nipponbare, complete sequence.